rnacentral:lncRNA from 1 species
GUUACUCAAAUUGUUGUAAUCGAUUACUGUAAGUGAAUUUUAAAUUCACUGUUGGACAACACAUUUGGGUAAUCGAUUACUCAAUGCUGUAAUCGAUUACUGAGUGAUGUUACAUCAGUUUUUCAGACUUGAAACUCAAGAGUUUUCAUCCCAAAUGAAAUACCUUCAUUCCAAACAAUUUCUACUCUUUCAUAAAGGCACAA